AUUGAACGCUGGCGGCAUGCCUUACACAUGCAAGUCGAACGGCAGCACGGGGGCAACCCUGGUGGCGAGUGGCGAACGGGUGAGUAACAUAUCGGAACAUACCCUAGAGUGGGGGAUAACGUAGCGAAAGUUACGCUAAUACCGCAUACGAUCUAAGGAUGAAAGUGGGGGAUCUUCGGACCUCAUGCUCAUGGAGUGGCCGAUAUCUGAUUAGCUAGUUGGUGAGGUAAAGGCUCACCAAGGCGACGAUCAGUAGCUGGUUUGAGAGAACGACCAGCCACACUGGAACUGAGACACGGUCCAGACUCCUACGGGAGGCAGCAGUGGGGAAUUUUGGACAAUGGGGCGGAACCCUACGAUCCACGC
rnacentral:rRNA from 1 species